AUUGAACGCUGGCGGCAGGCCUAACACAUGCAAGUCGAACGAGUGGCGGACGGGUGAGUAAUGUCUGGGAAACUGCCCGAUGGAGGGGGAUAACUACUGGAAACGGUAGCUAAUACCGCAUACCAUCGGAUGUGCCCAGAUGGGAUGCGCUAGUAGGUGGGGUAACGGCUCCCCUAGGCGACGAUCCCUAGCUGGUCUGCGAGGAUGUCCAGCCAAACUGGAACUUGGACACGGUCCAGACUCCUACGGGAGGCAGCAUUGGGGAAGAUGGCACAAUGGGCGCAAGCCUGAUGGAGCCAUGCCGCGUGUAUGAAGAAGGCCGUCGGGUUGUAAAGUACUUUCAGCUAGGAGGCGUUACUCGCAGAAGAAGCACCGGCUAACUCCGUGCCAGCAGCCGCGGUAAUUC
rnacentral:rRNA from 1 species